UACGGGGGGGGCAAGCGUUGUUCGGAAUUACUGGGCGUAAAGGGCUCGUAGGCGGCCAACUAAGUCAGACGUGAAAUCCCUCGGCUUAACCGGGGAACUGCAUCUGAUACUGGAUGGCUGGAGAUUGGGAGAGGGAUGCGGAAUUCCAGGUGUAGCGGUGAAAUGCGUAGAUAUCUGGAGGAACACCGGUGGCGAAGGCGGCAUCCUGGACCAACACUGACGCUGAUGAGCGAAAGCCAGGGGAGCAAACGGG
rnacentral:rRNA from 1 species